AACGAGGUCAAAAGUCCUCCUUACUAACAAACCCCUCCAUCUAAUCCAUUAACCCAGGGUGUAACAGCCAUGGGGUGUCCACAGAUGCAGAGCAGUCUCGCCCAGGGCAUGUUCCUGGCUGGAGGUCGCGGAGCGUACGCGGGUGCAGCGUUACAAGGCCCCCUCGCUUAUUUAGAGAAGACUGCCACUAAUAUAGACAUGGUGGGAUUGGGCGAUGGACGAAGGUGACGCGGCCGCGGGAGGGGCAGGGGUCGGGGCCGCGGCAGAGGUCGAGGUCGUGGAGCAUCCCCUGAGUAUGGUGGUAGUAUGACGCCACCAUAGCGCGCCCCCCUCCCGGCGCACACGGACGCACUCAUACACACACCUCCGUUUACAUACACACAAAACGACGACACAUACAUGCAGUAUGGUGAAAAUACUGAAUCUACUAUGGAUAUAUUUUUUCCUACUUUUUAAUUUAAUUUACUUAUUUCCCUCUUAUUCAUAAACUACAAACGUUUCAUAAACGUGUUUUAGAUACUAAACUGUUUUGUCAUUUUCUAUGUUCUGUCUGCUCUAAUCACUAUGACUUAUUUUCUCUUAUUAAUUGUUUAACCAGUUGUUGUAUAUUGAAUGUUUUUUCUAUUUUAUUAUUUCAUUGAAUUAGUGCUAAUCGGUGGUUUGUAUUCACACACUUAAACUUAAAUUGUAAGUAAGAAUACAUUAUUUAAAAGAGCAACACACAAGUUUCUUGCUUGUUCUUCU